rnacentral:rRNA from 1 species
AAUUGGAGGGCAAGUCUGGUGCCAGCAGCCGCGGUAAUUCCAGCUCCAAUAGCGUAUAUUAAAGUUGUUGCAGUUAAAAAGCUCGUAGUUGAAUUUCGGGAUUGACGUGAUGGUCGUGCCUUACGGGGUAUGAACUGUUGCUGUUGAUUUCUCACCUUCUGGAGAAACUUGAUGUCCUUAAUUGGGUGUCUUGCGGAUCCAGGACCUUUACCUUGAAAAAAUUAGAGUGUUUAAAGCAGGCAUUUUGCUCGAAUACAUUAGCAUGGAAUAAUAGAAUAGGACGGCAUGGUUCUAUUUUGUUGGUUUCUAGGAUCACCGUAAUGAUUAAUAGGGAUAGUUGGGGGCAUUAGUAUUCAAUUGUCAGAGGUGAAAUUCUUGGAUUUAUUGAAGACUAACUACUGCGAAAGCAUUUGCCAAGGAUGUUUUCAUUAAUCAAGAACGAGAGUUAGGGGAUCGAAGACGAUCAGAUACCGUCGUAGUCUUAACCAUAAACUAUGCCGACUAGGAAUCAGACGAUGUUAAUUUUUUAAUGACUCGUUUGGCACCUUACGGGAAACCAAAGUGU